AUUGAACGCUGGCGGCAGGCCUAACACAUGCAAGUCGAACGAGUGGCGGACGGGUGAGUAAUGUCUGGGAAACUGCCUGAUGGAGGGGGAUAACUACUGGAAACGGUAGCUAAUACCGCAUACCAUCGGAUGUGCCCAGAUGGGAUUAGCUAGUAGGUGGGGUAAAGGCUCACCUAGGCGACGAUCCCUAGCUGGUCUGAGAGGAUGACCCUCCAAACUUGAACUGUGACAAGGUUCAUACGCCUGAGGGGAGCAGCAGUGGGGAAGAUUGAAGUAUGGGGGCAAUCCAGAUGCAGCCAUGCCGCGUUUAUGAAGAGGGCCGUCAGGUUGUAAAGUACUUUCAGAGGGGAUUCUUUACCCGCAGAAGAAGCACCGGCUAACUCCGGGCCAGCAGCCGCGGUAAUUC
rnacentral:rRNA from 1 species